GCUGUCCUGUUUUCAGUUGUGCACAGAAGAAAGCAGGCGGCCACCUUUCUGAUGUGAUUUCUCGCACCGAUCAGGAAAAACUGCUGAAGUCACGAGGCUGCUCCACUCAGAGCCCUCAUGUGAGUCAUACGAAAGCUCUAGCCCUGCUGACCUCUGGCAGAAAGGUUGCGAACGAGGACAGGAGAGGCAGAGGGGAGAGGUUCAAGUGCGGGUUUUCUCCUUGAACCUAGAAGAUUAUGGGUCAAGAGCUGUGUACGAAGACUCUCCAGCCUGGAUGGCGCUGCCAUCGCUGUUGGGAGGGAGACGAUGCACACAGCUGCCAGAGGACAGUGCCUGAGCCCGAGCCGGCGGAGGCUGCGACCGAGCUGGCAGACCUAAAAGAAGCAUCAUGUUCCAUGACUUCAUUUCACCCCAGGGGACUUCAGGCUGUCCGUGCCCAGAAGUUCAAGAGUAAAAGGCCACAGAGUAACAGUGAUUCUUUUCAGGAAGAAGAUCUGAGGCAGGGUUUUCAGUGGCAGAGGAAGAGCCUCCCUUUUGGGGCAGCCUCAUCUUACUUGAACUUGGAGAAGCUGGGUGAAGGUUCUUAUGCUACAGUUUACAAGGGGAUUAGCAGGAUAAAUGGACAACUAGUGGCUCUAAAAGUCAUCAGCAUGAAUGCAGAGGAAGGAGUCCCAUUUACAGCUAUUCGGGAAGCUUCUCUCUUGAAGGGUUUGAAACAUGCCAAUAUUGUGCUCCUGCAUGACAUAAUCCACACCAAAGAGACUCUGACAUUUGUUUUUGAAUACAUGCACACAGACCUGGCCCAGUACAUGUCUCAGCACCCAGGAGGGCUUCAUCCUCACAACGUCAGGCUUUUCAUGUUUCAACUUUUGCGGGGCCUGGCGUACAUCCACCACCAACACGUUCUUCACAGGGACCUGAAACCUCAGAACUUACUCAUCAGUCACCUGGGAGAGCUCAAACUGGCUGAUUUUGGUCUCGCUCGGGCAAAGUCCAUUCCCAGCCAGACAUACUCUUCAGAAGUUGUGACCCUCUGGUAUCGGCCUCCUGAUGCCUUGCUGGGAGCCACUGAGUAUUCCUCUGAACUGGACAUAUGGGGCGCAGGCUGCAUCUUUAUUGAAAUGUUCCAGGGUCAACCUUUGUUUCCUGGGGUUUCCAACAUCCUUGAACAGCUGGAGAAGAUCUGGGAGGUGUUGGGAGUCCCUACAGAGGAUACCUGGCCUGGAAUUUCCAAGCUACCUAACUACAAUCCAGAAUGGUUCCCACUGCCUAAGCCUCAAAGCCUUCAGAAUGUCUGGAACAGGUUGGGCAGGGUUCCUGAAGCUGAAGACCUGGCCUCCCAAAUGCUGAGAGGCUUUCCUAGAGACCGCGUCUCUGCCCAGGAGGCCCUGGUUCAUGACUAUUUCAGUGCCUUGCCAUCUCAGCUGCACCAGCUCCCCGAUGAGGAGUCUUUGUUUACAGUUUCAGGAGUGAGGCUAAAGCCAGAAAUGUGUGACCUUUUGGUGUCCUACCGGAAAGGUCACCACCCAGCCCAGUUUAGCAAAUGUUGGUGAAAAGAGGGAACGACAUCACCAACAUCCUUUCGGUGACUUUCCACAAAGGAUUAUUGCCUGGAGAUGUGAAAUGGUCAUCGUAGAAGGUCCAUGAAAGUCAGCCUGUCAAACUUGGCACCGGUGCUAGCAACUGAGAAAAGGAGGAGGCAGUUUUCACCUCUAUUGGAGUCACCUCCGGAUGUCCCUAGGCCCUUGGUAUUAAUGGCUACAUCACUGCUGUUUCAGUUUUAAUUUGCUUUGCCUUACUAAGAAGCUUCAAAUCUAACUGCACAAUGGACCAGGGUUUUCAUACCAUCACCUGUGACCUGGAAUAUUGUAAAUAUGAGGUCCAAGGGAACGGACAUGAUACUUGAAGAAAAAGCAAUGAUUGAUUAUUGCUGUUGUCAUUUGCGUAGAAUUUAACAUUGAUUGACUCAAAAAUUAGACAACAGAUUGAAAUAGUCUGAGAAGAGGAUUUCUGAAUAAUUUUGUCUAUUUUGUUAUUUGAUUGAGAGAUCCCUGGGCCAGAAGGACUAUGGGCCAGAUGAAAGGCUAAUGAUUAAAAGAAUCUGGAGACAGAGCUGGUGCUUACAGAGGCCUGUCCCUCCUGUGUUCACUUAUAAUUUCCCCCAACAAAAGGACUUCUGUGGCAAGGAGAGGAUUAGUCUGAAGUUCAGAAAAAUCUCAGGGAAGAUGGUUUCUUGGAUAAAGUUGUCAACAAAAGUACUUGCUUAAGACGCUUUGUUAAGAUUUCCUAGGAGGUGCUUCUUUCUUCAUUAACUGGAUUAUCAAAACACACUACUACCCCUCUCCCGCUAGUUUUUAGAAGUUUGGAUUGAACUCCUGGUUAGAUUGAAAUUUUUUGGCUAUCUCCUUGUACUGAAUCCCAGUUAUCAGUGACGAUAGGAAAAAGCGAUGAGGAACCUAAGCUCCGAUUUGAUGGUGGAGAUGCUGAAUAAAUGGGAACAAAGAGUUCCAAAGAUGUAAUUCAAGCCCUGUUGCACCAUUAGACACACAUGCGUGUGUGCACCCACAACCCUCAAAUAAAUGAGAGAUCAGUCUCAGCUAACACAUGUAUCAUUUUCCACAAUGACUCCUUCUAAAAGAAGCCAGGGAAACUCAAAUUACUUCACCUAGGGAUCAUCUACUCAGGAAAUGUAGUAGCCUAGAAACCAAAGACUUCUAUAUAUCCUUUAGAAGAACAAGAAAGAACUAAUUAAGAAAGAAUUAAAAAGUAAUACUAAUGCACCCAAAGUCUGAGAUGGGGAAGAGGAAAAAUGCAUACAAAUAGCCCAAGGAAAUCUACCUUAGUAUUUGAUUUUAGCAAGGUAUUUGACCAAACUUCUCCAAACACACCUGAAAGAUGAAACUGUAUGGGCUGGAUUAUGGGGUAAAUAUAUGUGUGCCUUGAAAGUGGUUUUUCAACCUAGACAAAAGCCGAUUGUGGUACGGUAUAAGGUACAGUCUUAAGCCCCAUUCUACAAAUAUUAAUACAUAUUUGUAUUAAUCACUUGAAUAAAAUCAAAGAAGGUACACAAUUUAUUCACACAACUCAUUGAAGUAAGUAAUUAUUAUUAAUUUAUUACUUCCAUUUUACAAAAGGGGAAACUGAGACUCAAAGAAGUUACAUAACUCAUCCAUGGUGGUAUACCAGAAUUAAGGUACAAAGCUCAUGUCUGGCUGUCUCCAAUGUGUAUGAUCUUUCCAAAAAUCACAUUUCAUUUUUGUAUAUGUAAGUUUUUCUUUCUUUCAAUUUUAAGAUGUAGUCUCUUCUAACAAACUGACCAAAAUAUACUCAGGAGAUAGUGUAUUGCUCUGUUCUGUUCACCUGUCCGUUUAUAUCCCUUCCUUUUUUUGUUGUUGCUGGGGUUUUUUUUUCUCUUUUGUUUUUUCUUGUCUUUUAAUUUCCACUUUGACAGUUACAUUCUAUCCUUUCAUUGUAUUUAGUUUUAUUUUUAUACAUAUAUAAGUUUUUCUUUCCUAAAAAUCUUAGGGUCUAGUUUUCUAAAAAAACAGACCAGAAUACACACAGAAUCCAGUCUAUUGCUCUACUGUGCUCACCUGUCUGAUUAUUUUUUUUUCUUUUUUUCUUCUUCUUCUUUUAUUUAUUUAUUUAUUUAUUUAUUUUUCUAGUUUCAGGUCUCUUUGGAUUUGUUUAGUGUAUAUUUCUCUGGGGUUGUUGUUGCCAUUUUAGUAUUCUCUCAUUCAUCUACUCUUUUCUGGGCAGAAUGACAAGACAGAAAAA